ensembl:ncRNA F38A6.6 ncRNA
CUGUACAAAAUGACUCAAAAGGGCACCGCGCCCGCUCUCGGUCUCCGAUCACUCAGUCUCUCUCUCUCCCUCCACAACCCAAAAAGGAGGCUUGCAGAAGUAGAGAAGCAGAGAGUGACGAUCGC